AUGUUCAAAUCCAGGUAAAUAUGUUCCCAAAGUCACUAAGCUAAACCUCUUCUUUCUGAAUUAGUCCUGACCUGAACAGGACAAGAGAAUAGAGAAAUACCCAAUAAAAUUUAACUCUCACACUGUGAAAGACUAUUUCAAACCUUUUCUGGUGCAACUAAGUAAGUUUUUUGGCCCAAGAAUUAAUUGACUAGGACUUCAGAGGUAAGUCAAAAGGCCUUUGGAAAAAGAAAGGUGGAUCCAAAACAGCAGAGGAAGUGCAGAGAAACAAGGGAGGAUAAGAGGCAACAAUGGGUUCUCAGAUGCACCCUCACCGACAACUUUGGAAAUGUCAAAGGUAAACAAUGAGACAGGAAGUUGGAGAGGAAAACGGCCAGGGAAAGUUCAGCCCUGUAUCCCUUCCACGCCCUCACUGCCCAUUAUGACUCUCACUGAGUCAGCCCAGAUGGGAGGAAAGCAGAGACCUCACUCACCCAAUGUCCAGCCUCUCCAUGGCCUGGAACUAGUGGAGGAUGAAGCUUGUGAGUGCAGCUCAGACACACCCAUGGUACCCCCUGUCCCACUGCACAUCCAUACCCAGAGAUUUCAAUCAGAGCCCCGGAGUACAGAGAGCACCGCCCAGGGGCCUGGGUUCUGAGGAGGUUUGGAGCGGUGAAGGAGAAAUUCGCCAAAGGCUCUAAAAUAAUUAAGUAGGCAGCAAAGAGUGGAACCCCAUCUAAUUCCAGAGUUCAAGCUUAGUGACUACAAAGUAUUGCCCAUCUUAUUCGUGAAUGCUAAAAGAAAAAAAAAAAAACACCUGAAAGAUGACAAUUCAUUUCAAAGCCUACCGUAACAGGUUAGGCCCUUUAAUGCCUGAUACUUGCUAAAGUUCGACAGAGAGCAGAGGCUAUUUUCUGAGCAGCUUGUACAAAGUCAACUCCAAGGACAUGCUAAUCAAAAUGGGGCAUAAGCACAUGAUAUCCAUAUCAGUCAGAAGUUAAACAACAGAAUGGGCCAAAUUUAAGCCUCUGGCACAUGCUGGGAUGUAACAAGCCUCCUGUUCCAAUAAGUAGAGGCUACCAGAGAUUACAUUCAUCUGAGAGAGUCAACACAGAAGGUUCCAGAGGGAAAACGGAAAUCAACAUGAGUUUUGUAAUGGUUGGGAGGAGAAGGGACUAUCAUUUAUUCCUUCAUAUGUCCAAGAGAGCGAGGCCCCAGGGAUGCAACAGUGCUCAGAAGAGUAGUUUCUAUCCUCCUGUGAAGUCUCCUGGGAAAGACAGACCAUUAACAAGCAUGUAAUAGUGGUGAAGACCAUCUUCCCUGGUUGGUGAAACUCCCAGGGAAGCACCUAUGCCAGCUGGAAUUUUCAAGAGAACUUGUCUUAAGGCAGGGUGGUCUUGGCUCAUGUACCUGCUAGGGACUACUACGUACAUGUGACAGAACCCUGAACCAGCAAACCGAAGUUAAUAUGAAAGGAAGAAAGAAACACGGUUCCUGGCCAGCAGUUUCAUACACACGUGGGGCUGUUUCCAAGAGGCAGUGGGGUAAAGAUGAAGGUAAACCCGACAAGAACAUCCGGGAGCCUGGAGGAAUGCCGUCAAUGGGUCUUUGUACAAAGAACGAAGUAUCUUAAUCACCUUUGUUGCCUGUGACCAGAAAGGUCAGCGGAGAACGAGACUCCAGGGGUGAAGGCCGUAAUAAGCUGUUCUAUUCACCAUCAUUCAAUAAAUAUGUUUCUGGCUUUGGAAAGAUUAAACGCAGCUAUAAAUGA